UACAUGGGGUGCAAACGUUGCUCGGAAUUAUUGGGCGUAAAGCGCACGUAGGCGGUUUGUUAAGUCGGAUGUGAAAUCCCUCGGCUCAACUGAGGAAGUGCAUCCGAAACUGGCAGGCUUGAGUACUAAAGAGGGUCGCGGAAUUCCCGGUGUAGAGGUGAAAUUCGUAGAUAUUCGGAGGAACACCAGUGGCGAAGGCGGCUCACUGGUCCAUUACUGACGCUGAGGUGCGAAAGCGUGGGGAGCAAACAGG
rnacentral:rRNA from 1 species